rnacentral:rRNA from 1 species
UUGAGUCGCAUGAUUUGAAUAUUAAAACUCCGGUGGUAUAAGAUGGGCAUGCGUAGCAUUAGUUUGUUGGUGAGGUAACGGCUCACCAAGACUAUGAUGCUUAGGGGGUCUGAGAGGAUAGUCCCCCACACUGGUACUGAGACACGGACCAGACUCCUACGGGAGGCAGCAGUGAGGAAUAUUGGUCAAUGGACGCAAGUCUGAACCAGCCAUGUCGCGUGCAGGAUGACGGCCCUAUGGGUUGUAAACUGCUUUUUUACAGGAAUAAUUGUCGCUACGUGUAGUGAUUUGAAUGUACUGUAUGAAUAAGGAUCGGCUAACUCCGUGCCAGCAGCCGCGGUAAUACGGAGGAUUCGAGCGUUAUCCGGAUUUAUUGGGUUUAAAGGGUCCGUAGGCGGUUCUUUAAGUCAGUGGUGAAAUCCCAGAGCUCAACUCUGGAACUGCCAUUGAAACUGAAGAACUUGAAUAUGGUUGAGGUAGGCGGAAUACGUUAUGUAGCGGUGAAAUGCAUAGAUAUAACGUAGAACACCAAUUGCGAAGGCGGCUUACUAAACCAUUAUUGACGCUGAUGGACGAAAGCGUGGGGAGCGAACAGGAUUAGAUACCCUGGUAGUCCACGCCGUAAACGAUGAUUACUCGUUGUGCACAAUACAUCGUGCGUGACUGAGCGAAAGCAUUAAGUAAUCCACCUGGGGAGUACGUUCGCAAGAAUGAAACUCAAAGGAAUUGACGGGGGCCCGCACAAGCGGAGGAACAUGUGGUUUAAUUCGAUGAUACGCGAGGAACCUUACCUGGACUUAAAUGUAGAUUGACCCACUUAGAAAUGGGUGUUCUCUUCGGAGCAAUUUACAAGGUGCUGCAUGGUUGUCGUCAGCUCGUGCCGUGAGGUGUCGGGUUAAGUCCCAUAACGAGCGCAACCCCUAUCGUUAGUUGCUAGCAGGUAAUGCUGAGGACUCUAGCGAGACUGCCACCGUAAGGUGAGAGGAAGGUGGGGAUGACGUCAAAUCAGCACGGCCCUUACGUCCAGGGCUACACACGUGUUACAAUGGCCAGUACAAAGGGCAGCUACCAGGUGACUGGAUGCUAAUCUCAAAAGCUGGUCUCAGUUCGGAUCGGAGUCUGCAACUCGACUCCGUGAAGUUGGAUUCGCUAGUAAUCGUAUAUCAGCAAUGAUACGGUGAAUACGUUCCCGGGCCUUGU